GGCGAACGGGUGAGUAACACGUGGGCAACCUGCCCAAAAGAGGGGGAUAACACUUGGAAACAGGUGCUAAUACCGCAUAACCAUAGUUACCGCAUGGUAACUAUGUAAAAGGUGGCUAUGCUACCGCUUUUGGAUGGGCCCGCGACGCAUUAGCUAGUUGGUGGGGUAAAGGCUUACCAAGGCAAUGAUGCGUAGCCGAACUGAGAGGUUGAUCGGCCACAUUGGGACUGAGACACGGCCCAAACUCCUACGGAAGGCAGCAG
rnacentral:rRNA from 1 species